rnacentral:rRNA from 1 species
AUUGAACGCUGGCGGUAUGCUUAACACAUGCAAGUCGAACGGUAACAGGCCUUCGGGCGCUGACGAGUGGCGGACGGUGAGUAACGCGUAGGAAUCUGCCUCAUAGUGGGGGACAACGUGGGGAAACUCACGCUAAUACCGCAUACGCCCUACGGGGAAAGCGGGGGAUCUUCGGACCUCGCGCUAUGAGAUGAGCCUGCGUUAGAUUAGCUAGUUGGUAGGAUAAAGGCCUACCAAGGCGACGAUCUAUAGCUGGUCUGAGAGGACGAUCAGCCACACUGGGACUGAGACACGGCCCAGACUCCUACGGGAGGCAGCAGUGGGGAAUAUUGGACAAUGGGCGCAAGCCUGAUCCAGCAAUACCGCGUGUGUGAAGAAGGCCUUAGGGUUGUAAAGCACUUUCAAUUGGGAGGAAAACCUGCCGGUCAAUACCCGGUAGCUUGACAUUACCUUUAGAAGAAGCACCGGCUAACUCCGUGCCAGCAGCCGCGGUAAU